UACGUAGGGGGCAAGCGUUGUUCGGAAUCACUGGGCGUAAAGGGUGCGUAGGCGGGUCUUUAAGUCAGGGGUGAAAUCCUGGAGCUCAACUCCAGAACUGCCUUUGAUACUGAAGAUCUUGAGUUCGGGAGAGGUGAGUGGAACUGCGAGUGUAGAGGUGAAAUUCGUAGAUAUUCGCAAGAACACCAGUGGCGAAGGCGGCUCACUGGCCCGAUACUGACGCUGAGGCACGAAAGCGUGGGGAGCAAACAGG
rnacentral:rRNA from 1 species